UGGGGAAUAUUGCACAAUGGGCGCAAGCCUGAUGCAGCAACGCCGCGUGAACGAUGAAGGUCUUCGGAUCGUAAAGUUCUGUUGCAGGGGAAGAUAAUGACGGUACCUAACCAGAAAGCCACGGCUAACUACGUGCCAGCAGCCGCGGUAAUACGUAGGUGGCAAGCGUUGUCCGGAAUUAUUGGGCGUAAAGCGCGCGCAGGUGGUUUAGAAAGUCUGAUGUGAAAGCCCACGGCUCAACCGUGGAGGGUCAUUGGAAACUAAUAAACUUGAGUGCAGGAGAGAAAAGUGGAAUUCCUAGUGUAGCGGUGAAAUGCGUAGAGAUUAGGAGGAACACCGGUGGCGAAAGCGGCUUUUUGGCCUGCAACUGACACUGAGGCGCGAAAGCGUGGGGAGCAAACAGG
rnacentral:rRNA from 1 species